rnacentral:rRNA from 1 species
ACAUCUCAGUACCCGGAGGAAAAGACAUCAACCGAGAUUCCGUUAGUAGUGGCGAGCGAACGCGGACCAGGCCAGUGCCUCUGAUUCAACUAGCAGAACGAUCUGGAAAGUUCGGCCAUAGCGGGUGACAGCCCCGUAUGCGAAAGUGAGAUCAGAGGACUCGAGUAGGGCGGGACACGUGUAAUCCUGUCUGAACAUGGGGGGACCACCCUCCAAGCCUAAAUACUCGUAUGCGACCGAUAGCGAACUAGUACCGUGAGGGAAAGGUGAAAAGCACCCCGAUGAGGGGAGUGAAACAGUACCUGAAACGGAUU